UGAUGGUCUUCUCUCCCCUUGUUCCUCACCUUGAUUUUCUCUCCCCAUUGCCUCAUGCUCACUUUUUAGCUUUAUUUGAUCAUCAUACACCUGUUUGGGUGUAAGAGGUACAAGAGUGAUGGUUUUACCAUCUUUUACAAUGGUAUACCUAUUUUUAACCCCAUCAUGAAUUGCCUUCCUAUCAUAUUGCCAUGGUCUCCCCAACAAGAUGUGACUUGCUUGCAUUGGUACCACGUCGCACAGAACUUCGUCAACAUAUUUCCCAAUCGAAAAUGGAACCACAACCUGUUUAGUCACUUUCACUUCACCACUAUCAUUCAGCCAUUGCAAUCUAUAUGGUUUAGCAUGCUUAGCAGUACACAAAUUCAGUUUACUAACAAGGGUGGCACUGUAAACAUUAACACAGCUUCCACUAUCUAUAAUUAAACCACACACCUUUCUUUGUACGUAACAACGUGUAUGGAAGAUGUUCUCCCUUUGUUCAUUAGUAUCAUCUUCUUUGACCUGAACCUGAAGUGUUCGCCUUAUAACCAAGGACUCCUCAACCGGUAAUGCUAACUCAUCCCCAUCACUAUCCUCCAAUGGUGGCAUGCCUUCACAAUCAGAAUUGUCACUUUCAGAUUCCACAUCACCAUUAUCUCUAAUCAUCAUGAUUCUCUUGUUUGGACACUCUGAAGCAUAAUGUCCAUGUCCCUGACACCUGAAACAUUUAACAUCACGAGUACGUUUAGGUUGAGUUUCAGAGUUACCUUUGGCAUCAGUAGGGACAUCAACUUUAGCCUUUGGUGGUUCAGUUCUAGAAGAACCAAAGGAUCUUGACCGGAAAGUACCCUCUCUCUUUAGAUUCGGCUUCCAAGAUGAUGACGAACCCGAAUUAAAUGCUGACCGAGCAUGCCCUUUCCUAAGUUGUCUCUCCACCUUCGUCGCCAUAUGAACCACAUCCUCUAGCUCCACAUAGUGCUGUAGCUCAACCACAUUAGCAAUAUCCCGAUUCAACCCAUUAAGGAAUCUAGCCAUGGUGGCUUCUCUAUCCUCAACAACAUUAGCCCGAAUCAUUGCUAUCUCCAUCUCUUUGUGAUAUUCAUCUACUGUCUUAUAACCUUGAUUCAGACCUUGGAGCUUCAAAUAUAAGUCUCUGUAAUAGUGGUUUGGCACAAAUCAUCUCCUCAUUAAGACUUUCAUCUCCCCCCAAGUCUGAACGGGUCGCUCGCCAUUCCUCCUCCUACUGAUCACAAUCUGAUCCCACCAAAUUAAUGCAUACUCCAUAAACUCAAUUAUCACCAAUUUCACCUUUUUUUGUUCAGAAUAGCUAUGGCAAUCAAAAAUCCAAUCCACCUUUUUCUCCCACUCCAAAUAAGCCUCAGGAUCGUUUUUACCUUGAAAGCUAGGAAUUUUCAGUUUAAUGGUGUCUAAGUCCCCAUCCAUGUCUUCAUAAGUGCCCAUGCUACGAAAAUUCACAUUCCUCCUAGCCCUGUUCGGUCCAGACCUGAUUUCAUGGCCAGCUGAUGCAAACUCAAAGUCAUCUUCACCUCCAUCUGCGUUUUCAUCAACAAACUCUUCAAAAUCAGAUCUGACAUUCCGUGCGGCCAUACGGAUCGUAUUUGCCCGGCGAUCAGCCCCACUAUUCUGUUGCUUAAUCGAAUUCACCUCAUCUUUCAGAUCCUUGUACGUCCUAGACAACAGCUCAAGUUGCUGGCCUAUGGAUCGCAAUUGGAAAGCUACGUCAACGUUUUGUGUCGCUGAUUCGUUGUUUUCAGACAUUCUUUGAAUCUGCAAAAUUUGGUUAGUAGCACAAAAUAUAUCCUCACACCUCUCGUGUAUCACACAAAACAAAAAUUAAGGCUUUUCACUCUACUAAGCUCUCUACGCCUUUUACCUCACAACUUGCUUUCUUUU
rnacentral:rRNA from 1 species